rnacentral:rRNA from 1 species
AACGAACGCUGGCGGCAGGCCUAACACAUGCAAGUCGAGCGCCCCGCAAGGGGAGCGGCGGACGGGUGAGUAACGCGUGGGAACGUACCCUUUGCUACGGAAUAGCCUCGGGAAACUGGGAGUAAUACCGUAUGUGCCCUUCGGGGGAAAGAUUUAUCGGCAAAGGAUCGGCCCGCGUUGGAUUAGGUAGUUGGUGGGGUAAUGGCCUACCAAGCCGACGAUCCAUAGCUGGUUUGAGAGGAUGAUCAGCCACACUGGGACUGAGACACGGCCCAGACUCCUACGGGAGGCAGCAGUGGGGAAUCUUAGACAAUGGGCGCAAGCCUGAUCUAGCCAUGCCGCGUGAGCGAUGAAGGCCUUAGGGUUGUAAAGCUCUUUUAUCUGGGAAGAAACUCCUCUAUUCUUAGAGGCCUGACGGUACCAGAGGAAUAAGCACCGGCUAACUCCGUGCCAGCAGCCGAGGUAAAGUCAGUGACU